GUUUCUUGCACUGAGAAAGUAUAAUUUCAUGUACAGAGGGGAGCUGGAGCUGAUGGGUUAUGAUGAAGGGACUUAGGCUUUGUUUGGGGCGGCUUUUGUAAUGUUUUCUAAAGCAAUUUUCUAAUACAAAAUUUUUUAGUUCAGAAUAUUUUUGUGCUAAAAAGUUGUUUUAAAAAACAGUGAGAAAGCCAUUCCAAAUAAAGCCUCAGACCAAUCAGAUUUUCUUUUUUCUGGCUUUGAUAUAAAUUUGAUUGGGUGGUUAUGGGCUUCAAUUCAGUAAUGAUGAGAUUGUUCUUAGGAUUAGUGCAUGAUUCUUCUGUAGGUGGUUUGUUUUAGAAGCUUGUUCUUUUGGUUUCAAUGAAGUGGCUGAUGGGUGGAUUUCUCCACCAUAUUUUUUAAAAAGAAAAA